rnacentral:rRNA from 1 species
GAUGAACGCUAGCUACAGGCUUAACACAUGCAAGUCGAGGGGAAACGACAUCGAAAGCUUGCUUUUGGUGGGCGUCGACCGGCGCACGGGUGAGUAACGCGUAUCCAACCUGCCCACCACUUGGGGAUAACCUUGCGAAAGUAAGACUAAUACCCAAUGAUAUCCCACGAAGGCAUCCGAAUGGGAUUAAAGAUUUAUCGGUGAUGGAUGGGGAUGCGUCUGAUUAGCUUGUUGGCGGGGUAACGGCCCACCAAGGCUACGAUCAGUAGGGGUUCUGAGAGGAAGGUCCCCCACAUUGGAACUGAGACACGGUCCAAACUCCUACGGGAGGCAGCAGUGAGGAAUAUUGGUCAAUGGGCGAGAGCCUGAACCAGCCAAGUAGCGUGCAGGAUGACGGCUCUAUGGGUUGUAAACUGCUUUUAUAAGGGAAUAAAGUGAGUCUCGUGAGACUUUUUGCAUGUACCUUAUGAAUAAGGACCGGCUAAUUCCGUG